rnacentral:rRNA from 1 species
GACGAACGCUGGCGGCGUGCCUAAUACAUGCAAGUCGAGCGAACCAAUAAGAAGCUUGCUUUUUGUUGGUUAGCGGCGGACGGGUGAGUAACACGUGGGUAACCUGCCUGUAAGACCGGGAUAACUCCGGGAAACCGGUGCUAAUACCGGAUAGAUUAUCUUUCCGCAUGGAGAGAUAAGGAAAGAUGGCUAUUGCAAUCACUUACAGAUGGGCCCGCGGCGCAUUAGCUAGUUGGUGAGGUAACGGCUCACCAAGGCGACGAUGCGUAGCCGACCUGAGAGGGUGAUCGGCCACACUGGGACUGAGACACGGCCCAGACUCCUACGGGAGGCAGCAGUAGGGAAUCUUCCGCAAUGGACGAAAGUCUGACGGAGCAACGCCGCGUGAGCGAAGAAGGUCUUCGGAUCGUAAAGCUCUGUUGUUAGGGAAGAACAAGUAUCGGAGGAAAUGCCGGUACCUUGACGGUACCUGACGAGAAAGCCACGGCUAACUACGUG